GCCUGGGUGGCUCAGCUGGUUAAGCGUCCGACUUUGACUCGGGUCAUGAUCUCACAAACUGUGAGUUCAAGCCCCACCUCAGGCU
rnacentral:tRNA from 1 species